rnacentral:rRNA from 1 species
UACAGAGGUCUCAAGCGUUGUUCGGAUUCAUUGGGCGUAAAGGGUGCGUAGGCGGUCUGACAAGUCUGAUGUGAAAUCUAUGGGCUCAACCCAUAGUCUGCAUCGGAAACUGUCGGGCUUGAGUAUGGGAGAGGUGAGUGGAAUUUCCGGUGUAGCGGUGAAAUGCGUAGAUAUCGGAAGGAACACCUGUGGCGAAAGCGGCUCACUGGACCAUUACUGACGCUGAGGCACGAAAGCUAGGGGAGCAAACAGG